rnacentral:rRNA from 1 species
AUUAGGAAUCUUGCGCAAUGGGGGCAACCCUGACGCAGCGACGCCGCGUGAGUGAUGAAGUCUUUCGGGAUGUAAAGCUCUGUCCUGCGGGGAAGAAGGAUGUGACGGUACCCGCAGAGAAAGCCCCGGCUAACUACGUGCCAGCAGCCGCGGUAAUACGUAGGGGGCGAGCGUUGUCCGAAUUUACUGGGCGUAAAGCGCGUGUAGGCGGUCUUUUAAGUCAGUUGUGAAAUCUUGCGGCUCAACCGCAAAACUGCAUCUGAAACUGGAGGGCUUGAGCGUGGGAGAGGAAAGUGGAAUUCCUGGUGUAGCGGUGAAAUGCGUAGAUAUCAGGAGGAACACCCGUGGCGAAGGCGGCUUUCUGGUCCACUGCUGACGCUGAGACGCGAAAGCUAGGGUAGCGAACGGGAUUAGAAACCCCUGUAGUCC